CAACUCUGGAAAGUCGGGGGAAACUCCGCGCCGAAGGUGUAAGUUCAGUCAGGGGUCCUGAUUGAGCGAGUCUCUCAGGCUUCCGACAGAGGGGCAA
rnacentral:ncRNA from 1 species